rnacentral:rRNA from 1 species
AGACAACUAGGAUGUUGGCUUAGAAGCAGCCAUCAUUUAAAGAGUGCGUAAUAGCUCACUAGUCGAGUGACACUGCGCCGAAAAUGUACCGGGGCUAAACAUAUUACCGAAGCUGUGGAUUGUCCUUUGGACAAUGGUAGGAGAGCGUUCUAAGGGCGUUGAAGCAUGAUCGUAAGGACAUGUGGAGCGCUUAGAAGUGAGAAUGCCGGUGUGAGUAGCGAAAGACGGGUGAGAAUCCCGUCCACCGAUUGACUAAGGUUUCCAGAGGAAGGCUCGUCCGCUCUGGGUUAGUCGGGUCCUAAGCUGAGGCCGACAGGCGUAGGCGAUGGAUAACAGGUUGAUAUUCCUGUACCACCUAUAAUCGUUUUAAUCGAUGGGGGGACGCAGUAGGAUAGGCGAAGCGUGCGAUUGGAUUGCACGUCUAAGCAGUAAGGCUGAGUAUUAGGCAAAUCCGGUACUCGUUAAGGCUGAGCUGUGAUGGGGAGAAGACAUUGUGUCUUCGAGUCGUUGAUUUCACACUGCCGAGAAAAGCCUCUAGAUAGAAAAUAGGUGCCCGUACCGCAAACCGACACAGGUAGUCAAGAUGAGAAUUCUAAGGUGAGCGAGCGAACUCUCGUUAAGGAACUCGGCAAAAUGACCCCGUAACUUCGGGAGAAGGGGUGCUCUUUAGGGUUAACGCCCAGAAGAGCCGCAGUGAAUAGGCCCAAGCGACUGUUUAUCAAAAACACAGGUCUCUGCUAAACCGUAAGGUGAUGUAUAGGGGCUGACGCCUGCCCGGUGCUGGAAGGUUAAGAGGAGUGGUUAGCUUCUGCGA